UGACGAAGCGACGCCGCGUGUGGGAAGAAGGCCUUCGGGUUGUAAACCACUGUCGGGAGUUAAGAAAUGCAAGGAUAUUAAUAGUGUCUUUGUUUGACUAAGGCUCCGGAGGAAGCCACGGCUAACUCUGUGCCAGCAGCCGCGGUAAUACAGAGGCGGCAAGCGUUGUUCGGCAUUAUUGGGCGUAAAGAGCACGUAGGCGGCCUUGCAAGUCAGUUGUGAAAGCCUUCUGCUUAACGGAAGAACAGCAGCUGAUACUGCAAGGCUAGAGUGCGGAAGGGGAGAGUGGAACUUCUGGUGGAGCGGUGAAAUGCGUAGAUAUCAGAAGGAACACCGGCGGCGAAGGCGACUCUCUGGACCGUAACUGACGCUGAGUGUGCGAAAGCUAGGGGAGCAAACGGGAUUAGAUACCCCGGUAGUCCUAGCCGUAAACGAU
rnacentral:rRNA from 1 species